rnacentral:rRNA from 1 species
UUCCCACAGAUAUGGGCGUAUUCCCCUUNGCCAGCAGCCGCGGUAAUUCCAGCUCCAUAAUCGUUAUUAAAGUUGUUGCAGUUAAAAAGCUCGUAGUUUGAUUUAGGGUUUAUUUUUAAAAUGGAACUUAUCCUUUCUGGUAUUUCUAUGAUUGGAUUUGUUCCUUAUAAACCCUUUAUGAUAAAUAAAUAAACCUUUGGUUCUUCCACGGAAAGGGGAGGUUUUAUUUUUUAUCCUUUUAAUUUGAAAAAAAUUAGAGGGUCCAAAGCAGGGCAUUAUUUAUUUUGUCUUGAAUACUUUAGCAUGGGAUAAUAAAAUAUGACUCGUUUUCUAUUUUAUGGGUGUUUUUAGAAUAUCAAAGUAGGUUUUUUUUCUAGUAGCAAUAUUAGAGAAAAGAUCUAUUUGGAGUAAUGAUUAAUAGAAAUAGUUGGGGGUGUUUAUAUUUCAUUGUCAGAGGUGAAAUUCUUGGAUUUAUGAAAGAUAAACUUAUGCGAAAGCAUUCAUCAAGAAUAUUUUCAUUAACAAAGAACGACAGAUUAAGGAUCGAAGACGAUCAGAUACCGUCGUAGUUUAAUCUAUAAAUUAUGCCGACCAGGGGUUAGAGAAUGUGUUAAACUGAAUCAAGUUCGCAAGGGCUUGGUUCAAUUACUUCUUUAGAACCCUUUGUGAGAAAUCAUUGAGUGUUUGGGUUCUGGGGGUAGUAUGGUCGCAAGACUGAAACUUAAAGGAAUUGACGGAAGGGCACCACCAGGAGUGGAGCCUGCGGCUUAAUUUGACUCAACACGGAGAAACUCACCAGGUCCGGACAUUGUUAGGAUUGACAGAUUGAAAGCUCUUUCUUGAAUCCAUGGGGUGCGGGUGCAAUGUCGUUCCUAUUUGGGGGAAAUGAUCUUGUUUGGGUAAAUUCCCAAAACCGAACGAAACCCAAACCCUAUUUAAAAUUAACCCGGAAAUAAGUAUUCCAAAAGGGAAUUGAAAUGUCAGGAUUUCUUUUUCUAUUUUGCUGGAGUUUUUUCUUCAGUAAAGUAGGGGAAGUCUUGUGUGGAUCUCUUUAUUUAUUCCAGUUUUUAAGUUACUUCUUAGAGGGACUAUUAACGUUAAAUUUGUUUUUAGUUAUUGGAAGUUUGUGGCAAUAACAGGUCUGUGUGCCCAGGGGAAUUCGUAAUUCCCCU